AACGAACGCUGGCUUCAGGCUUAAAGGAACAAGUCGAGCGGACGUAGCAAUACGUCAGCGGCAGACGGGUGAGCAACGCGUGGGAACGUACCUUUUGGUUCGGAACAACCCAGGGAAACUUGGGCUAAUACCGGAUGAGCCCUUCGGGGGAAAGAUUUAUCGCCUUUAGAGCGGCCCGCGUUAGAUUAGCUAGUUGGUGGGGUAAGAGCCCACCAAGGCGACGAUCUAUAGCUGGUCUGAGAGGAUGAUCAGCCACACUGGGACUGAGACACGGCCCAGACUCCUACGGGAGGCAGCAGUGGG
rnacentral:rRNA from 1 species